UACGGAGGGUGCGAGCGUUGUCCGGAAUCACUGGGCGUAAAGGGCGCGUAGGCGGCCUGAUAAGUAGGGGGUGAAAUCCUGCGGCUUAACCGCAGGGCUGCCUUCUAAACUGUCAGGCUCGAGCACAGUAGAGGCAGGUGGAAUUCCCGGUGUAGCGGUGGAAUGCGUAGAGAUCCGGAAGAACACCGGUGGCGAAGGCGGCCUGCUGGGCAGUAUGGCUGACACUGAGGCGCGACAGCGUGGGGAGCAAACAGG
rnacentral:rRNA from 1 species